rnacentral:rRNA from 1 species
GAUGAACGCUGGCGGCGUGCCUAAUACAAGCAAGUCGAGCGAACAGAUAAGGAGCUUGCUCCUUUGACGUUAGCGGCGGACGGGUGAGUAACACGUGGGUAACCUACCUAUAAGACUGGAAUAACUCCGGGAAACCGGGGCUAAUGCCGGAUAACAUUUAGAACCGCAUGGUUCUAAAGUGAAAGAUGGUUUUGCUAUCACUUAUAGAUGGACCCGCGCCGUAUUAGCUAGUUGGUAAGGUAACGGCUUACCAAGGCAACGAUACGUAGCCGACCUGAGAGGGUGAUCGGCCACACUGGAACUGAGACACGGUCCAGACUCCUACGGGAGGCAGCAGUAGGGAAUCUUCCGCAAUGGGCGAAAGCCUGACGGAGCAACGCCGCGUGAGUGAUGAAGGUCUUCGGAUCGUAAAACUCUGUUAUUAGGGAAGAACAAAUGUGUAAGUAACUGUGCACGUCUUGACGGUACCUAAUCAGAAAGCCACGGCUAACUACGUG